UACGUAGGGUGCAAGCGUUUGUCCGGAAUUAUUGGGCGUAAAGAGCUCGUAGGCGGUCUGUCGCGUCGGCUGUGAAAUCCCGGAGCUCAACUCCGGGUCUGCAGUCGAUACGGGCAAACUGGAGUACUGCAGGGGAGACUGGAAUUCCUGGUGUAGCGGUGAAAUGCGCAGAUAUCAGGAGGAACACCGGUGGCGAAGGCGGGUCUCGUGGGUAGUAACUGACGCUGAGGAGCGAAAGCGUGGGGAGCGAACAGG
rnacentral:rRNA from 1 species